UACGGGAGGCAGCAGUGGGGAAUAUUGCACAAUGGGCGCAAGCCUGAUGCAGCCAUGCCGCGUGUAUGAAGAAGGCCUUCGGGUUGUAAAGCACUUUCAGUCGUGAGGAAGGUGUUAAGGUUAAUAACCUUAGCAAUUGACGUUAGCGACAGAAGAAGCACCGGCUAACUCCGUGCCAGCAGCCGCGGUAAUACGGAGGGUGCGAGCGUUAAUCGGAAUUACUGGGCGUAAAGGGCACGCAGGCGGUUAAUUAAGUUGGAUGUGAAAUCCCCGGGCUUAACCUGGGAAUGGCAUUCAAGACUGGUUAGCUAGAGUCUUGUAGAGGGGGUAGAAUUCCAUGUGUAGCGGUGAAAUGCGUAGAGAUGUGGAGGAAUACCGGGUGGCGAAGGCGGCCCCUGGGACAAAGACUGACGCUCAUGUGCGAAAGCGUGGGGAGCAAACAGGAUUAGAUACC
rnacentral:rRNA from 1 species